CUCAGUUCGGACUGGAGUCUGCAACCCGACUCCACGAAGCUGGAUUCGCUAGUAAUCGCGCAUCAGCCACGGCGCGGUGAAUACGUUCCCGGGCCUUGUACACACCGCCCGUCAAGCCAUGGGAGCCGGGGGUACCUGAAGUGCGUAACCGCGAGGAUCGCCCUAGGGUAAAACUGGUGACUGGGGCUAAGUCGUAACAAGGUAGC
rnacentral:rRNA from 1 species